rnacentral:rRNA from 1 species
AGAGUUUGUAUCCUCGGCGUCAGAGCGAACGCUGGCGGCAGGCUUAACACAUGCAAGUCGAGCGGGCGACUUUCGGGUGUCAGCGGCAGACGGGUGAGUAACACGUGGGAACGUACCCUUUGGUUCGGAAUAACGCUGGGAAACUAGCGCUAAUACCGGAUACGCCCUUUUGGGGAAAGGCUUGCUGCCGAAGGAUCGGCCCGCGUCUGAUUAGCUAGUUGGUGGGGUAAUGGCCUACCAAGGCGACGAUCAGUAGCUGGUCUGAGAGGAUGAUCAGCCACACUGGGACUGAGACACGGCCCAGACUCCUACGGGAGGCAGCAGUGGGGAAUAUUGGACAAUGGGCGCAAGCCUGAUCCAGCCAUGCCGCGCGAGUGAUGAAGGCCUUAGGGUUGUAAAGCUCUUUUGUCCGGGACGAUAAUGACGGUACCGGAAGAAUAAGCCCCGGCUAACUUCGUG